UGGGGAAUAUUGCGCAAUGGGGGGAACCCUGACGCAGCCAUGCCGCGUGAAUGAAGAAGGCCUUCGGGUUGUAAAGUUCUUUCGGUAUUGAGGAAGGUUGAUGUGUUAAUAGCACAUCAAAUUGACGUUAAAUACAGAAGAAGCACCGGCUAACUCCGUGCCAGCAGCCGCGGUAAUACGGAGGGUGCGAGCGUUAAUCGGAGUAACUGGGCGUAAAGGGCACGCAGGCGGUUAUUUAAGUGAGGUGUGAAAGCCCCGGGCUUAACCUGGGAAUUGCAUUUCAGACUGGGUAACUAGAGUACUUUAGGGAGGGGUAGAAUUCCACGUGUAGCGGUGAAAUGCGUAGAGAUGUGGAGGAAUACCGAAGGCGAAGGCAGCCCCUUGGGAAUGUACUGACGCUCAUGUGCGAAAGCGUGGGGAGCAAACAGGAUUAGAUACCCUGGUAGUCCACGCUGUAAACGCUGUCGAUUUGGGGGUUGGGGUUUAACUCUGGCGCCCGUAGCUAACGUGAUAAAUCGACCGCCUGGGGAGUACGGCCGCAAGGUUA
rnacentral:rRNA from 1 species